AUAAUCCCUUCUGGGGAGGGGGUGUGGGGAGGGGGUUGUUUGCAGGCUGUAUUGCUUGAGCUCAGGAGUUCUGGGAUACAAUAGCUAAAAUCAAUCAAGCUUCUGUAGUAAGUCCCCCAGGGUGAUGAGCCUCUGGGAGCAGGGGGCCACCAGGCUGCCUAGGGAGGGGUGAACCAGCUCAGGCCAUAAACAGAGCAGGUUCAAGUUUCUGUAUUGGUCAGUAAUAGGAUCAGGCCGGUGAGUGGCUGGUGUACUUCCAACCUGCGUGACCCAGGGAGACCCCGUCU
rnacentral:SRP_RNA from 1 species